GCCACUGUUCUAAUGGGCGGGGAACUGGGCAGGGAGGUGCCAGAGGGUUUUUGCCUAAACCCUCUGGGAGCGCGGCUAUAGCAGCUUGCUCCCCCAGGAGCAGAAGCGCGCCAGUGCCUUUCAGUCCAAGAAUUCAGCGCUGGCGUUUGGGGAUGGAGGGAGAGGCUCUGGAUGAAACUGGCACCUAAGGCCUUGAAAUAAGAUCGGGUUCCUGUAAGCCCUCCUCCCCAGGCACCGCCUCUCUGCUCCCAGCCCCUCUUGCCAGCUUUAAUGAUCCUUUCAGCGCCGUUUCCCCUCGCCUGCGUUUCCUCGGGCAGAGGAAGCAGCCUCUCUCGCCUCCCGGUUCGCACCCUAACACAGAACCUCCUUUCAGACCCGCCCUCCUGUUCACUGGGACCCGUUUCAGAGCGCUGGCUCCCUCUGGGCGGGAACUAGCGUGACGAAUUCCGCCAAAGGUGUUGAUUAUCCACCCCAACUCUGCCUCUGGCUUCACUCCCACUUUCACCCGGGUUCCCGUGGGCCCCCAGCCCCCACCCUGUUGUGGGUGCUCGGGACGGCGCCCCCAAGACCUCCACCCAGUGGUGCCCCCAGCUGCAGCUGGGGAAAGAAGCGCCGGCGUGCUCGGUGCCACGUCGGAAUUGGCUCCUAGGUCGCUGCAGCUGCCUGAGCGCAGCGCGCGGUCCCCUCGCACGCCCAGCCCCGGGCGGCGGGCGGGCCGGCGCUGCGCUGGGAGGAGAGAUGCGCGCCCUCCUCCAGCUCCCAGCUGCGAGUGCCACCGCCUGCGUCAGGGACCCCUGGCCGGAAGUCCCUCUGUCGCUCCAGAAGAUGCAGAAUGGAAAAGUACAUCUCGGGACAAACAGCGUUGCCCAAGAGAAGCUACCUGUGUACCCAAAAAAGCAGCGGAUUUAUGGCGAGAGCCGCAGGGAUGGGAAAAGACGGAUAUGUUGCUAAACUUGAUACUGAUCGGAAAUAUUCUCCGAUUUUCAAUCUGUUGGAAAUUUUCAGACCUCAAACUUUUCUAUAGAAACUGAUUUUUUUUAACAUUCACAUGGACAAUUUCUUCCAUGUCCCUGGCCUGAGGACCUUCAUACUUCACCCAAACGCCUCUGUGUAACGUACCUUGUUCAGCUCUCGGUCAUAAAGUCGUCCUCAGCCUGUCUGUGUGGUCCCGGAGGGUCGCUGGAAGGCAGUUUCCAAAAUUGAGGUAAUAAGAGAUCAGAUGAAUUUGAGACGACCGGCCAAAAAAAAUAAGAAAUUUAAAAACAACAUUUAAAAAAGAUGGGGGAGUCUCAAAUGUUUAGUACUCUCCCACUUUGAAAGGAAAUUCACUAAUAUUCUUUUUAUUAUUUCCGUUGCACUUCAGUCUUCUAACUCUUUUUAAAAAAAAUUUUUCAGUUUUAAAAAAUAAAUUAACUUUUUUUGUGGGUUCCAGUCCCCCUCCCACCCACCGAUAACGGAAAGUCUCUUUUUCGUAUUAAA